GGGUAUAUAGCUUAGUAGUAGAGUACAUGCCUAGCAUUCAUGAGGUCCUGGGUUCAAUCCUCAGUACUUUCA
rnacentral:tRNA from 1 species